rnacentral:rRNA from 1 species
GGAUCGGCUAACUCCGUGCCAGCAGCCGCGGUAAUACGGAGGAUCCAAGCGUUAUCCGGAUUUAUUGGGUUUAAAGGGUGCGUAGGCGGGCCCUUAAGUCAGUGGUGAAAGUUUGCAGCUUAACUGUAAAAUUGCCAUUGAAACUGAGGGUCUUGAGUGUAAAUAAGGUAGGCGGAAUGUGUUGUGUAGCGGUGAAAUGCUUAGAUAUAACACAGAACACCAAUUGCGAAGGCAGCUUACUGGGAUACAACUGACGCUGAGGCACGAAAGCGUGGGGAUCAAACAGGAUUAGAUACCCUGGUAGUCCACGCAGUAAACGAUGAAUACUAGCUGUAUGCGAUAUACUGUAUGUGGCACAGCGAAAGCGUUAAGUAUUCCACCUGGGGAGUACGUUCGCA